rnacentral:lncRNA from 1 species
AUAAGAAAAUGCCUGCAGCCCCUUGCACUCGCGGAGUCAUCUACGCAAGGUCGGGCUCUGCAGGCAGCAGCUUCUGGUCUCACCCCGGGCUUGUGCGCACACCUGGGGACAUGUGGGAAGGGCGCUCUUGCGGCCACUGAGCGGCCUGGCCUCAGGGAACGAGCCCCGCGCCGGGAAGAAAGCUGCCUGCCGGGAGCGCAGCCUACUGGGGACCCGGGACCCGAGCCACCGCGGCUCACCAAGAGGCGGUGGGGCCCUGCGGUGCGUGUGGGACGCCCGGCAGGCAGACUCUGAGCACGGCCAGGAGGCAAGAAGAGAUUGAAGGGAAAUCUCAAGGGGCUCCAGAGACUACUACGAUGGUGCAAAGUCACAGAAGCCCUGGGAAAAGCAGGUAGAAUGGAGUUGCCAUGACAUUGAGCCUCAUCUAGAUGCCAGUUCCAGAUAUUGGCAGACUGCUGGCCUCCUGAGGAGCACAGGAAGGGGCCUGGCAGACUGGUGAUCCUGGUUGGAGAUGAAGAGGGGCUGAUUAA